rnacentral:sRNA from 1 species
AAAAAAAAUAGGCAUACGGUGUUAUAUCAUUUUUGUUUUAGCUAUAUUAUAGCGCGUGGUUCACACACAUGAUCUAAAGAGCGUGUUGAAUCCCCAAUUAUUAAAAAGAAAGAAUAUUGGCAUUUACCUAGAUAUUUUGUUUUGG